CAGGUGAACAGGUGCAUGCUGGGUCGAGCUUAAUUACUAAAUGCUAAAAAUGCACGUGGAUCCUCCUGCUAUGGAUACUGCAUUAACUGAGAAAUGUCUACCUCAGAAUUUUUUUUUAAUCGAUUUAGGAGCUCAAUGGAAGAAAAAGGCUGAGUGGACAAAUGAAGCAUUGAGGAUAAACGAGCAGAGGAGUUGGAUCCGGUUGGACCUGGAGCAGGUGAUAGAGGGCUUCGCGGUGCACGAGCCGGACUGACACAGACAGGAGGUGAAAUCAGACCCGGGCCGACACUCUUGAAGUCUCUGCUCCGUCUGUCGAAACUAUGAAGGCUUUCCAGAGCCAAACUGAGACAGUCAGCUCCUUCAAGACUGCAUCAGACUGUCUAUAGGGAGCCAAGCCGACCUGCUGAUUCUGGUGUCUGACAGAAGAUUCUGCCCUUGCUCUCUGGGGAUAAAGAAGGACAGCCGACUUCUCUUACAUUUCCCCCCAGUGCUUCAUCUAUGGAUCAGGAUGUUUUCCUUUUGGAGAACACUGGAAGCCAAAUGCAAAGUCACUGUGAUCAGCUAGUUCAAAAUGUGACUGCAGUUAUUUCAGGCCAGUGAUGUCUUUGCAUAAACCUUCACAGAGAGGAAUGUUUCCCAGAACUUUUCAGUAAUGAUAUGCUGAAUUGAUUUUCAAGUACUUUUUCUGUGACUUUCUAGAUUUAACACAGGAAACUGGCAGUGAAGCAUUCGUAACUGUUUCAGACCUUUUGUAUCGAGAAAUAAUGUGGCAUAUGCUGGAGUAAAUUUAGCAUAGCUAUCUUCACCAGUAUUUUGGCUCUAGGGGUGGAAACAUUGACGGUUGGACAGUGGGUCGGUUGAGAUAUUGUGCAUUCAUAUUCCCAGAGGAUGAAUCAUAUGGACUUUGGUGAUCCCCUGACUUCUUCUAGUACCAGAUGAGUUGAAUCUCAACAGCUAAUAUAUUCCCAUGAAAUUUGGUACAGGUAUUCAUUUAUUCAUUCCAUGUUUAUUUAAUAGGGACAGAUGCAGAAAACAUCACAAAUAUCCAAACAAUAUAAAUUCCAGAUUCCCCCAGUUUGAUAUCUUACGAAAAUGUAUGCUGUUUGUGUGAUAUCUUACUAACUAUGACUCUUCUAUUUAAUGCUGUGAAAUGGUUGCAUGGUCGCAGUGGUAAACCGUAUAAUUGUUUGUAGUUUUAAGCACAUGGUUAACAUUAUAAGACGGAACUUCUUGGUUAGGUUUAGAAAAAAAGCUCAUGCUGGGUUAAAAUGACUACUUUUGUACGGAACUACUUGAUGCAGAAGGUGACGCAGAACUUUAUGUAUGCAGUGACCUAUGGACACUAAACAUUGCUACCAAACAACAAAAGCAAAUGGACUGCAAUUACACCUAUAGUACUUUUUUUAUUCUUUGUGACCACUCAACACGCACUCAUCAUCAUUCAUACUGGUGGCCCAGGCUACCCUAAACGGUGCCACCUCCCACAUCGCUCACUCACACACACACAGAUAAAUGCAGCAUCAGGAGCAAUUUGGGGUUCAGUAUCUUGCCCAAGGAUGCUUCGCUCUACCAACUGCAGCCCCUCACAGCUGCCCUUAAAAGUCAAUAUGGGUCAUAAUAAGCGUCAUCCAAGUCCUGUGUCCUUGGCACUUUUUGAUAAUUAGCAAAUGUCAGCAUGUUAAAACACAUAAUUAAGUUGUGAACAUGGAGAACAUUAUACCUGCUAAAUACCAGCAUGUUAGCAUUUAGCUAAGUACAGCCUAGCAUGACUGUAGUUUUGUUUUUGAUACUGAACUGUACCAAAAGACAAACUUUUUCUUCACAGAUAUCUGCUUGCUGCUGUUUAUGACUGACUAUGAAUAUUUUAAUUUUUUGGCAUAGCAUAAACCGUACCUGACAGCAGCAUUUAAUUUUGGUACACAGGAUGCAGCACAUUUACUGCGCCUACACUGGAGGAUUGGACACUCUUCUGUAUUAUACCCUUGUUUUGUCAUUUAGGUUGUUAAGAUAAGUGUGUUUUGCUUGAUAAGAGCUAUGUGAAGUAUAUUAUUUUUACUUAAAAACACCCUGCCUAAUGCAUUGUCAAGGCACUCAAGGUACUUCAGUGUACCAUUGUGGCAAACACCACCUACACACUUAUCUUGCAGCAAAGUAGGCUGAAGGAAAAAUGUUUUGAUACGUCUGAAAAACUAAAAUUACUGAAGUCUCCGAACAAGAUUUGUAUAAAGUUUGAUGUUUUUACAUUAGUAAGGUCCCAUUUAUUCUUUAGAGAGCACCCAACGAGGUGAUUUUUAGUCAUGCUCAUUUGAGAUAAGGAUGCAAAUGACAAGCAGAGA